AUUGAACGCUGGCGGCGUGCUUAACACAUGCAAGUCGGGCGGUAACAGGCGUAGCAAUACGUGCUGACGAGCGGCGAACGGGUGAGUAAUGCUUCGGAAUCUUCCUCGUAGUGGGGAAUAACCUGGGGAAACUCAGGCUAAUACCGCAUACGAACUACGGUUGAAAGCAGGGGAUCGCAAGACCUUGCGCUAUGAGAUGAGCCGAAGUCGGAUUAGCUAGUUGGUGAGGUAGCGGCUCACCAAGGCGACGAUCCGUAGCUGGUCUGAGAGGACGACCAGCCACACUGGGACUGAGACACGGCCCAGACUCCUACGGGAGGCAGCAGUGGGGAAUAUUGGACAAUGGGGGCAACCCUGAUUCAGCGACGCCGCAUGUGUGAAGAAGGCCUGCGGGUUGUAAAGCACUUUUAGUGGGGAUGAAAAGCCGAAGGCUAAUACCUUUCGGUCUUGACCUAACCCAAAGAAAAAGCACCGGCUAACUCUGUGCCAGCAGCCGCAGUAA
rnacentral:rRNA from 1 species